rnacentral:rRNA from 1 species
GUCUAUUAAUUGUAGACCAGCAUGAAAGGCAACAUGAGGGCCCAACUGUCUCUUAUAAUAAAUCAAUAAAACUGAUCUCCUAGUAAAAAAGCUAGAAUUUUACAUAAGACCAGAAGACCCUGUGAAGCUUAAACUAAACUAUUAAAACAUAUAAUAACUACUUUCGGUUGGGGCGACCUUGGAAAAAAAAAGAACUUCCAAAUACACCACCACAGGCCUACAAGCCACACAACGACCCAGCAUAGCUGAUUAUUGAACCAAGUUACUCCAGGGAUAACAGCGCCAUCUUCUUCAAGAGCCCAUAUCAAAAAGAAGGUUUACGACCUCGAUGUUGGAU